UUUGUUCAUUCCCGGGUUUGUUCAUUCCUGGGUUUGGGUUGGUCAUUCCUGGGUUUGCCAUUUCCAGGUUUGGUUUGGCUAUUUCCUGGGUUUAGGUUGUUCAUUCCUGGGUUUGUUCAUUCCCACGUUUUCCAUUCCCAGGUUCAAUUUGUUCAUUCCCGGGUUUGNGUGGUCCCUGCCCUGCUGGGAGCUGCUGCCAGCCUUACCCUGAGCGAUGAAGUUCUUCUCAAACUUCUGCAGGAACUCCAGGUACAGGAGAUCAUCAGAGGUCAGCGCUUCCUCGCCCACCACGGCCUUCAUGGCCUGCACGUCCUUGCCGAUGGCGUAGCAGGCGUACUGGGGGGAAAGGGGGCUCAGGGAGCCUGGCAGGGCCCUCAAACAUCAUCAUCAUCAUCAUCAUCAUCAUCACCUCAUGCCACCCCUGCCACGCCAGGGACACCUCCCUCUGCCCCAGAUUACCCUAACCUGGCACUGCAGGGAUCCAGGAGCAGCCACGGCUCCUCUGGGAAUUCCAGCCAGGGAUUCCCAAUUCCCAAUAUCCCAUCCAUUCCCUGUGUCCUGUCCCUCCAUCCCUCAUCCCCAGCUCUCCUUGUGCUCCUCUGGGAAUUCCAGCCCAGCAAUUCCCAAUAUCCCAUCCAUUCCUGUCCUCUGACAGUGGGUUCCAUUCCCUGUGUCCUGCCCCUCCAUCUCUCACAUCCCCAGUUCCUCCCCAGCUCUCCUGGUUCUCCUCUGGGAAUUCCAGCCAGGAAUUCCCAAUAUCCCAUCCAUUCCCUGAGUCCUGUCCCUCCAUCCGUCAUCCCCAGCUCUUCUUCUUGUGCUCCUCUGGGAAUUCCAGCCCAGCCCCUCACAGCCCAGCAAUUCCCAAUUCCCAAUAUCCCAUCCAUCCCUGCCCUCUGGCAGUGGGUUCCAUUCCCUGUGUCCUGUCCUUCCAUCCCCUCAUCCCAGCUCUCCUGGUCCUCCUCUGGGAAUUCCAGCCCAGGAAUUCUUUCCCAAUAUCCCAUCCAUUCCUGUCCUCUGGCAGUGAAUGGGAAGCCAUUUCCAGUGUCCUGUCCCUCCAUCCCUCAUCCCAGCUCUCCUUGUGCUCCUCUGGGAAUUCCAGCCCAGCAAUUCCUUCCCAAUAUCCCAUCCAUCCCUGCCCUCUGGCAGUGGGUUCCAUUCCCUGUGUCCUGUCCCCAAUCCCCCCCCAGCUCUCCUGGAUCCCCUUCAGGCCCUGGAAUUUGCUCUGAGCUCUCUCCAUGUGAACGCCCCCAGCCUGGCUGUCCCCUCCUCUGGAAUCAUCCACAAUUCCCCUACAAACCCAAACCCUCUCACUCAACACUCAGCCAAGGCUUAGUGAAAGCAGCCUCAGGAAUGUUCUGGAUGCCUCAGCUGGGCAGCCCAGGGGGUUUGGUACCCACCAGCUGGUUGGACACAUCAGCGUGGUCCUUCCUGGUCAUCCCCUCGCCGAUGGCCGACUUCAUCAGCCGGGACAGGGAGGGCAGGACAUUGAUGGGAGGGUAGAUCUGGGGGAGAACACCCAGAAUUAACAGGAAUCCUUCAAAUCCAGAAUAACCCAAAGCACCUUGAGAGCAGCAGGGCACACACCUGCCUGUUGUGCAGCUGUCUGUCCACGUAGAUCUGUCCCUCAGUGAUGUAGCCAGUCAAGUCAGGGAUGGGAUGAGUAAUAUCU
ensembl:lncRNA